rnacentral:tRNA from 1 species
GUGGUUGUAGCUCAGUGGUAGAGCACUUGUCUAGCAUAUGCGAAGCACUGGGUUUGAUUCUCAGCACCAUA